GACUACCUAAAGGUGAAGCAUGAGACAAAGGACUAGUGUUUUAUUUCUGGAACAGGAGGUGGGUAAAGAAAAAUCUUAGGUAUGACAUUAUUGGUGUUAAUUUUCUUUUGACAAUAUGCUUUUCCAAAAUGAAAGGAAAGGCUCUGUUGCAUGCCUCAAUUUUGGAAAAAAAGUAUAUACAUUUUGACUGGUUUCUGUAGAUCAUUUAUUAUUAUGGUGGACCUAAGAUAUUGGCUAAGAAGAAAAUUAUUUGUUAUGAGCAAGUGGCUUCUGUGGACAGUCUUCAGUUUGAUAAAACAGAGCUUAGUAUUGGGUUGAAAGGGUAAUUGAGACAGAGUUGCUUUGAAUCCCUUCUUUCACUUCUCUAAUUCUCAUGUACAUUAGAGUUCAUGAAAUGUAUGCCUCGGCUGGGGUAAGUAAUACUGUGAAAAAAACUGUUAUGAUUAAGGUAUUUUCAUGCUAAUUAAGUUUGUUUCAGGUUGAUAACUGUUGUUGCAUUUUUCUUCAUGUGACCAAUAGGGCCGAGUUUAAAUUUGACUUGUUUUGUUUUAGUUAACCUUGUUAGCUAAUUUGUAUACAGUGUAGCUAUAGAUUGCAUGUACAUGUUUUGCAAAUUUUGAGGGUUUCUUGAAUAUUUUCAAAAUGUAACUUAUGUGACAAGUAGUUUGUUUGAAGGUGUUCCUCUAUUUUUAUAUUUUAUUUUCUUUAAUAAGCUAUGACCCUUGUUUUGAGAACAUAUGCUCUCAGUAUGUAUUGUUGCUGUACAAGCAGAUAAAUGAGCACUUUUGGGGUGUGCAUACUUUCUUUGUAUCUUCAGUCCUUAUCCAGCUAAUUUUUUUGGACCAGAGAACCAAGUGCUGUCAAUUGUACAAGUUAUGCAAAAAAGUAACUGUCACUGGAGCAUAAAAAAGAUCUUGGCCACACUUGUUUCCUUUCUGGACUCUAGUACAGACAUAUGCUGGGUGGAGACAGAAUGGAAACAUGCCCUGGAGUAAAGAGGUAUUAACACUACAGUUGUGUAACCCUGGUGAAUCCUAUUGUAGUCUUUGGGGUGCCAAUUUCACCACUUCAUUACUAUUUUUAUGUUUUUAUUUCUGUUGAUCCAAAAAAAGAAAAACACAGAGAUCAAAAUUAUUGACAUUGGAUUUUGUUUGAUGAUAUUUUUCUUAUCUGGUCUAUAUCUAUUUUUAAUCUACAGAGGGUUUGCUGUGUAUGUUGUAGAAAAGAAGCACCUUUUUGAUUUUGGAAAGUCUGACAGCAAAUGUUUUUUUCUAAUUGUACCAUUUAUAGGGCUACACUAUGUCAUUUUACAUUUGUUAAGAAGUUUAGAACAAAAUGGAAAUCAAAUUUUUGUGUGCUCGUUUCUAUUAAUGUUUGUUGAAUUAUUUUUGCAGUAGUCCAGUAGUUUAUUCUUGUACUGGGUUUGCAUGGCAAGGUUUUGGUAGGGGGGAGGUACAGGUGUGGCUUUUGUGAGAAGCUGACAGAAGCUUCUUCUAUGUUUGAUAGAGCCAAUGUCAGCUAGCUUCAGGAGAGACCCAUUGAUGGCCAAGGCCGAGCCCCUCAGUGAUGAUGGUACCACCUCUGGGAUAACAUAUUUAAGCAGGGAAAAAAACCUGUGCAACAGCAACUGCAGACAGAAGAGAGGAGUGAGAAUAUGUGAGAGAAAUAACUCUGCAGAUCCCAGGGUCAGUGGAGAAGGAGGGGCAGGAGGUGUGUCAGGCGCCAGAGCUGAGAUUCCCCUGCAGCCCAUGGUGCAAGACCAUGGUGAGGCAGCUGUGCUCCUGAAGCCCAGGGAGGUCAAUGGAGGAGCAGAGAUCCACCUGCAGCCUGUGGAGGAGACCCACACUGGAGCAGGUGGAUGCUUGGAGUUUGUAAGCCUGUGGGAAGCCUGCACUGGAGCAGGGUCCUUGCAGGACCUGUGGAGAGAGGAGCCCACACUGGAACAUAUUUGCUGGCAGGACUUGUGACCCUUGUGGAGGACUCAUGCUGGAGCAGUCUGUUUCUGAAGGACUGCACUCUGUGGAAGGGACCCACACUGAAGCAGGUGGAUGCCUGAAGGAGGCUGUGACCCUGUGGGAAGCCUGUGUUGGAGCAGGGUCCUGGCAGCACCUGUGGACCUGUGGAGAGGAGCCCAUGCUGGAGCAGCUGGCUUCAUUCAAACUCUGGAUUGAAAAGGGACUUUUGAAAGCUGAAAUCUUUUGCGGUGCCCAACUGUUGCCACAGUGCUGAGCAGGGUGGCCCUUGCUCCAGCAAGCCAGUCUAGCUCACCAUUGGUGCUCAAACAAGGGGAGAAGACCAUGAUCUGCCUCAGCCCAGCCACCUUGCUUUGCCUGCUCCUGUCAUCUCCUGCUGCGAGGAAGGUGAAGUCCCUCUGUGAUUUUCUAGCCCUUGAUCCAGAGAAUACCAGUUGGAACUCCAGAUGUCAGGGAGAUAAGCAGAGCGGAGGGGGACAUGGAGGGAAGACUGACACCAUCUUUAUCUUUGUCCUUCAAACCACAUGCUCAGCUACAGAGCACCAUCUUGGGGGGAUGUGCCCGGCAUUUUGGGUCUCUUUGUUCUUGGGGGGAAUCCAUGAGAUUUAGCAAUGUUUUAUCUAGCAGUUAUUUACUGGUUUGGUUGUUUUGGGGGUUUGUGCCUGUUGCU